AUUGAACGCUGGCGGCAUGCCUUACACAUGCAAGUCGAACGGCAGCACGGAGCUUGCUCUGGUGGCGAGUGGCGAACGGGUGAGUAAUAUAUCGGAACGUACCCUAGAGUGGGGGAUAACGUAGCGAAAGUUACGCUAAUACCGCAUACGAUCUAAGGAUGAAAGUGGGGGAUCGCAAGACCUCAUGCUCGUGGAGCGGCCGAUAUCUGAUUAGCUAGUUGGUAGGGUAAAAGCCUACCAAGGCAUCGAUCAGUAGCUGGUCUGAGAGGACGACCAGCCACACUGGAACUGAGACACGGUCCAGACUCCUACGGGAGGCAGCAGUGGGGAAUUUUGGACAAUGGGCGAAAGCCUGAUCCAGCAAUGCCGCGUGAGUGAAGAAGGCCUUCGGGUUGUAAAGCUCUUUUGUCAGGGAAGAGACGGUGAGAGCUAAUAUCUCUUGCUAAUGACGGUACCUGAAGAAUAAGCACCGGCUAACUACGUGCCAGCAGCCGCGGUAAUACGUAGGGUGCAAGCGUUAAUCGGAAUUACUGGGCGUAAAGCGUGCGCAGGCGGUUUUGUAAGUCUGAUGUGAAAUCCCCGGGCUCAAUCUGGGAAUUGCAUUGGAGACUGCAAGGCUAGAAUCUGGCAGAGGGGGGUAGAAUUCCACGUGUAGCAGUGAAAUGCGUAGAUAUGUGGAGGAACACCGAUGGCGAAGGCAGCCCCCUGGGUCAAGAUUGACGCUCAUGCACGAAAGCGUGGGGAGCAAACAGGAUUAGAUACCCUGGUAGUCCACGCCCUAAACGAUGUCUACUAGUUGUCGGGUCUUAAUUGACUUGGUAACGCAGCUAACGCGUGAAGUAGACCGCCUGGGGAGUACGGUCGCAAGAUUAAAACUCAAAGGAAUUGACGGGGACCCGCACAAGCGGUGGAUGAUGUGGAUUAAUUCGAUGCAACGCGAAAAACCUUACCUACCCUUGACAUGGCUGGAAUCCUUGAGAGAUCAGGGAGUGCUCGAAAGAGAACCAGUACACAGGUGCUGCAUGGCUGUCGUCAGCUCGUGUCGUGAGAUGUUGGGUUAAGUCCCGCAACGAGCGCAACCCUUGUCAUUAGUUGCUACGAAAGGGCACUCUAAUGAGACUGCCGGUGACAAACCGGAGGAAGGUGGGGAUGACGUCAAGUCCUCAUGGCCCUUAUGGGUAGGGCUUCACACGUCAUACAAUGGUACAUACAGAGCGCCGCCAACCCGCGAGGGGGAGCUAAUCGCAGAAAGUGUAUCGUAGUCCGGAUUGUAGUCUGCAACUCGACUGCAUGAAGUUGGAAUCGCUAGUAAUCGCGGAUCAGCAUGUCGCGGUGAAUACGUUCCCGGGUCU
rnacentral:rRNA from 1 species